UACAGAGGUCCCAAGCGUUGUUCGGAUUCACUGGGCGUAAAGGGUGCGUAGGUGGCCAGGUAAGUUCGGUGUGAAAGCUCGGAGCUUAACUCCGAAAUGGCAUUGAAUACUAUCUGGCUAGAGGGUCGGAGGGGAGACUGGAAUUCUCGGUGUAGCAGUGAAAUGCGUAGAUAUCGAGAGGAACACCAGUGGCGAAGGCGGGUCUCUGGACAGUUCCUGACGCUGAGGCACGAAGGUCAGGGGAGCAAACGGG
rnacentral:rRNA from 1 species